rnacentral:rRNA from 1 species
AACGAACGCUGGCGGCAUGCCUAACACAUGCAAGUCGAACGAGACCUUCGGGUCUAGUGGCGCACGGGUGCGUAACGCGUGGGAACCUGCCAUUAGGUUCGGAAUAACUCCCCGAAAGGGGUGCUAAUACCGGAUAAUGUCUUCAUACCAAAGAUUUAUCGCCUUUGGAUGGGCCCGCGUUGGGUUGGCUAGGUGGUAGGGUAAAAGCCUACCAAGGCGACGAUCCAUAGCUGGUCUGAGAGGAAGGUCAGCCACACUGGGACUGGGACCCGGCCCAGACUGCUGCGGGAAGCAGGAAUUGGGAAUAAUGGGCCAUGGGCCGAAGGCUGAUACAGCAAUUGCGGGUGGAUGGUGAAGGGCUUAGGGUUGUAAAGCUCUUUUACCCGGGAUGAUAAUGACAGUACCGGGAGAAUAAGCUCCGGCUAACUCCGUG